UACGGGGGGGGCAAGCGUUGUUCGGAAUUACUGGGCGUAAAGGGCUCGUAGGCGGCCAACUAAGUCGGAUGUGAAAUCCCCAGGCUUAACCUGGGAACUGCAUCCGAUACUGGAUGGCUUGAAUCCGGGAGAGGGAUGCAGAAUUCCAGGUGUAGCGGUGAAAUGCGUAGAUAUCUGGAGGAAUACCGGUGGCGAAGGCAGGUCUCUGGGCUAUAACUGACGCUCAUGCACGAAAGCGUGGGGAGCAAACAGG
rnacentral:rRNA from 1 species